CCUGCCAGUCGUGUGACAUCUAAACGAUUUUGAACCUCAGGUGAAUUCUUUUUAUUCUUUAUUAUUUACUCACUGGGUAACUGCAUCUCAGAAUCUUGUCUCUUACAGGAUCCUCUCCGAUUUGUCCAUGGCUCCGUCUAUUGCCCAUUAAUUGCAACCGAAGCUUUUUAAGUGCCUCAACCAACUUCCGAAGGCUGCAAUGGACUGCCCAAGAAAGGAAGAAACACACAAUAGGACUUUAAAUAGAAAUUUUGUCAAGAUUGACCUUGGUGCAUGCCACUAAUGCAUGAAAAACGUUAAAUGAUGGAAUAUGAAGAUGCCAGUGUACACCUUGAAGAUGAACAUCAAACCAUUUAUUCAGGAGCACAUUCUGUUGAGUCAUUUCGAAAGGAAGAAGUUACCAGGUUAUAAGGUAAAAAAUAUAAUGAACCAGUUAAUCUGUUAUAUCUGAUAAGAUCCAUAAGGAGAACAACAACUGUUUUAGUGAUAAUUGGAGUCAAAUGAAUUCAGGCAAAUCUUGGGGGUUAUUAUUAUAAUGAUUAGGCUGCUUUGUUUACUCUUUAAUAACUUGUUAGUAUAAGCCACAUAUAAAACAACAAAAUUAACCAUAGAUAUUAUUAUAUGUUUAUUAUUACUAAUACCAAGUUACAAUAUGGAUACUACAGUAAUGCUGUAGUAAAUCCAUGGUUAAUUGUAUCAAAUUCUUGGUUACUGCCAAAAAGAAAGAAAACAAAAACAUGGUUAAUACAAUAUUACUACAGUAAAGCCAUUGUAAGUUUUCAUAAGGGUAU